GUUCCAGACUCCUACGGGAGGCAGCAGUGGGGGAUAUUGGACAAUGGGGGGAACCCUGAUCCAGCGACGCCGCGUGAGUGAAGAAGUAUUUCGGUAUGUAAAGCUCUAUCAGCAGGGAAGAAAAGAAUGACGGUACCUGAAUAAGAAGCCCCGGCUAACUACGUGCCAGCAGCCGCGGUAAUACGUAGGGGGCAAGCGUUAUCCGGAUUUACUGGGGGUAAAGGGAGCGCAGACGGCAAUGCAAGCCUGGAGUGAAAGGCGGGGGCCCAACCCCCGGACUGCUCUGGGAACUGUAUAGCUAGAGUGCAGGAGAGGCAAGUGGAAUUCCUAGUGUAGCGGUGAAAUGCGUGGAUAUUAGGAGGAACACCAGUGGCGAAGGCGGCUUGCUGGACGGUAACUGACGUUGAGGCUCGAAAGCGUGGGGAGCAAACAGGAUUAGAUACCCCUGUACAU
rnacentral:rRNA from 1 species